CUGGUUUAAACCAGCUGCCCUGUCUUGUAAGACCCUCUACCACACUGCUUCUGAGUACUGGUCUGUGUUGGUUUGGGCUGGAGAACUUUCCCACAGUUCCACUGGGUACCACAGUCAUUUCACCUGUGGCCAUGCCUGGCUCACUACAGGAAGCUUUCUCAUGGCACAGAAACACAUGUCGAGGGGAUGUGUUAACAUGCUCACAAAGUCCAGAGGUGUCACAGAGGUCCUCAUUGAUGUCACAAAGAUCCCACUUCAUUUCCACCGUGGUGUAGGUGUUAUGCUCAGGCCCACUUCUUCAAUGAGGCAAAAGGCCCUGCCUGGGGUUUCACAUCUGCAUGCUGACCCUCUGCUAAGGAGGCUGUGAAGGAGAGCUUGGUGGUGUUUUCCGCCUCACACCAAAUCAGAUCACAGGAGUGUCUAAACUACCCUCUUGGCAAGAAGUGACAACCCAUAACUCAGAUAUUUCAGUUUCCAUCCAAGAGGUGGCACUGUGACAGCAUGGCAGAAAUCGACAGGUCCCUUGACGAUCCUCGUCAGUUCAGCUGUCGGAAGUCCGCACGGCUGUUCUCACACACUUGGCUCCACAUUUCCAGAGAUGUGCUUCGAGCUUAGAUCCUCUUACGCUGCAAGUCGUUUCUCUCCGGACAGUGUUGGCCGAGGGCCAGCUGGGUGCUGAGCAGUCCAGGCGAGUGCCAGGGAAGAGAGCAGGAAUCAAAGCCCUCUACUCCACAGCUUCCAGAAAUCCCACCUAGUCAGUGAUUCCGAUUGAGCAGACAACUAGCCAGGUCCCUAACGUGCCGGUUUAUUUGACUGAAGAACACACCCACCAAUCGAUAGGCUGUGUAGGGAGGUCUUCUAAUGAGAACACUCUGUCCCUUUGAGAAACCUACAGUGCCAUCAUUUGAAGGCAUCUUAGGCUGGGAUUAGAGCCAAGGAAUCCCCAAACUCUGAAGCCGAAGUUAGAGCUUCCUUAGUCAUUUCCACGUGAAAGUCACCUGUGAUGUGCUCCGCUGUCACAGGGGCUUCCAAAUUAUGGCAAAGCCUUAGGUGUCCUCAGAUCCCUGGAGGUCAGGAGCACAGAGAAGACUACGGAAGCGCAUUAUCAGUAGAGCAGAGAGCCUCUAAUCCUGUUCUAAGCUGCUCUGUCCACGUGGGAGCUUCCUGCCACAUAGGAUGCCCGCUCACUUCAGGUCACAGUGAAGCAUCUGCAGCAGGUCUAACUGAAUUUAAAAAGAAAGGACCAGAGAGCUGGCCAGCACUUAGGAUCCCAUGCCGCCCUUCCAGAGGAUCGAGCUCAGUUCCCUGCACCCACAUUUAACUCCAGCUCCAGGAGAAGUCUAACACCUCUGGACUGGGCCACCCACACUCACACGCACCCACACAUACAUACACAUGAUUAAAAACAGUAAAUCUUUGGAAAUAAUAAAAAGAAAAGGAAUCACCAGAGAACUAAAGACCAUGCUGGAAACAAAAUAACAGGGUUGAAAACACGAGGCCAAGUCAGAGAAGCCUGGGCAACGGAAAAGGCAGCUGUGGAAGUCAAAGGAAAAAGCAAUGCUUACGUAUUUAGAAUCCCAGGAGAGAAUCAAAAUGUGGAACCAGUGGUUGAAGACAUAAGAAAAUGCCUGAGAAAGAAAAGAGGAGUUGACAAAACGGUGCAGUGUCCCGGGUGACAAAGGUUCCCUGACAGCCAACAGUGAAACGUCCUAGUAAAAGCCGGGAUUACGAAGACUGAGACGCUUGUGACCAAUCAGACAAAAAGCUGCAGGUGGGUCAGUGAGACGGUCCAGUGCAGUGGUUCUCAACCUUCCUAACGUGUGUGCCCACUCACGGGCACAUCCUGUGCUUCACCCACUCACCCACACAGUACCAAUGUCAGGGUUAAAAAACCUCUUAAAACUCUGAAGUCAUAGGGGAAAAAAGCACUAUAUAAUUUCUGCAUAUUGGCCACCUUCAUGACCAGACACCUGGCAAACGCCACCUAAGAAGGAUUAUUUCAGUUCAGUUUGAGGGUACAGUCCGGCAUGGUGGGGAGGGCAGAGCAGCAGGGAGCUCCAGGGAGCCAGUCAUACUGCACUGUAGUCAGGAAGCAGAUGAAUGGUCGCGAUCAGCCAUUUCCUCCUUUUUAUGCAGGCCAAGGCGCCAGCCCAGGGCAUGGUGCCACCCACAUUUGAAGUGGAUCCUCCCACUUCAAGGACAAUACAAACAUUAUCAUUUACAUGUUGCCGAUGAGCAUGUGACCUCCUAGUGUAUUAAGUGGUAUCCUUUAACAUGACAAUUCUCCUUUUAAGAGUACUUUCCACAGAGCACCAAAUAAAAGCACUAAAGGGUAUGUAUACAAAGGUAAUGCAGCACAUGUUAGCAUGUGGAAAACAAGGUAAUGCAGCACAUGUUAGCAUGUGGAAAACAAGGUAAUGCAGCACAUGUUAGCAUGUGGAAAAUGAAAAGAGAAUCCCCUAGUAUCUACCAAGAGAAUAAUCAUUUAAUCAAUGGCAAGUCUUUACUAUAUUAUUAAAAUUAAAUCAUUAGUUUUGAAUCUGUUA